rnacentral:rRNA from 1 species
GGUUAAGCGACUAAGCGUACACGGUGGAUGCCCUGGCAGUCAGAGGCGAUGAAGGACGUGCUAAUCUGCGAAAAGCGUCGGUAAGGUGAUAUGAACCGUUACAGCCGGCGAUGUCCGAAUGGGGAAACCCAGUGCAAUUCGUUGCACUAUCGUUAACUGAAUACAUAGGUUAACGAGGCGAACCGGGGGAACUGAAACAUCUAAGUACCCCGAGGAAAAGAAAUCAACCGAGAUUCCCCCAGUAGCGGCGAGCGAACGGGGAGCAGCCCAGAGUCUGAAUCAGCUUGUGUGUUAGUGGAACGGUCUGGAAAGUCCGACGGUACAGGGUGAUAGUCCCGUACACCAAAAUGCACAGGCUGUGAACUCGAAGAGUAGGGCGGGACACGUGGUAUCCUGUCUGAAUAUGGGGGGACCAUCCUCCAAGGCUAAAUACUCCUGACUGACCGAUAGUGAACCAGUACCGUGAGGGAAAGGCGAAAAGAACCCCGGCGAGGGGAGUGAAAAAGAACCUGAAACCGUGUACGUACAAGCAGUGGGAGCACCUUCGGGUGUGACUGCGUACCUUUUGUAUAAUGGGUCAGCGACUUAUAUUCUGUAGCAAGGUUAACCGUAUAGGGGAGCCGCAGGGAAACCGAGUCUUAACUGGGCGUUAAGUUGCAGGGUAUAGACCCGAAACCCGGUGAUCUAGCCAUGGGCAGGUUGAAGGUUGGGUAACACUAACUGGAGGACCGAACCGACUAAUGUUGAAAAAUUAGCGGAUGACUUGUGGCUGGGGGUGAAAGGCCAAUCAAACCGGGAGAUAGCUGGUUCUCCCCGAAAGCUAUUUAGGUAGCGCCUCGUGAAUUCAUCUUCGGGGGUAGAGCACUGUUUCGGCUAGGGGGUCAUCCCGACUUACCAACCCGAUGCAAACUACGAAUACCGAAGAAUGUUAUCACGGGAGACACACGGCGGGUGCUAACGUCCGUCGUGAAGAGGGAAACAACCCAGACCGCCAGCUAAGGUCCCAAAGUCAUGGUUAAGUGGGAAACGAUGUGGGAAGGCACAGACAGCCAGGAUGUUGGCUUAGAAGCAGCCAUCAUUUAAAGAAAGCGUAAUAGCUCACUGGUCGAGUCGGCCUGCGCGGAAGAUGUAACGGGGCUAAACCAUGCACCGAAGCUGCGGCAGCGACACUAUGUGUUGUUGGGUAGGGGAGCGUUCUGUAAGCCUGCGAAGGUGUGCUGUGAGGCAUGCUGGAGGUAUCAGAAGUGCGAAUGCUGACAUAAGUAACGAUAAAGCGGGUGAAAAGCCCGCUCGCCGGAAGACCAAGGGUUCCUGUCCAACGUUAAUCGGGGCAGGGUGAGUCGACCCCUAAGGCGAGGCCGAAAGGCGUAGUCGAUGGGAAACAGGUUAAUAUUCCUGUACUUGGUGUUACUGCGAAGGGGGGACGGAGAAGGCUAUGUUAGCCGGGCGACGGUUGUCCCGGUUUAAGCAUGUAGGCUGAUUGUCCAGGCAAAUCCGGAUAAUCAAGGCUGAGGUGUGAUGACGAGGCACUACGGUGCUGAAGUAACAAAUGCCCUGCUUCCAGGAAAAGCCUCUAAGCAUCAGGUAACAUUAAAUCGUACCCCAAACCGACACAGGUGGUCAGGUAGAGAAUACCAAGGCGCUUGAGAGAACUCGGGUGAAGGAACUAGGCAAAAUGGUGCCGUAACUUCGGGAGAAGGCACGCUGGUGUGUAGGUGAAGUCCCUGCGGAUGGAGCUGAGACCAGUCGAAGAUACCAGCUGGCUGCAACUGUUUAUUAAAAACACAGCACUGUGCAAACACGAAAGUGGACGUAUACGGUGUGACGCCUGCCCGGUGCCGGAAGGUUAAUUGAUGGGGUUAUCCGUAAGGAGAAGCUCUUGAUCGAAGCCCCGGUAAACGGCGGCCGUAACUAUAACGGUCCUAAGGUAGCGAAAUUCCUUGUCGGGUAAGUUCCGACCUGCACGAAUGGCGUAAUGAUGGCCAGGCUGUCUCCACCCGAGACUCAGUGAAAUUGAACUCGCUGUGAAGAUGCAGUGUACCCGCGGCAAGACGGAAAGACCCCGUGAACCUUUACUAUAGCUUGACACUGAACAUUGAGCCUUGAUGUGUAGGAUAGGUGGGAGGCUUUGAAGCGUGGACGCCAGUCUGCGUGGAGCCAACCUUGAAAUACCACCCUUUAAUGUUUGAUGUUCUAACGUUGGCCCCUUACCGGGGUUGCGGACAGUGUCUGGUGGGUAGUUUGACUGGGGCGGUCUCCUCCCAAAGCGUAACGGAGGAGCACGAAGGUUAGCUAAUCCUGGUCGGACAUCAGGAGGUUAGUGCAAUGGCAUAAGCUAGCUUGACUGCGAGCGUGACGGCGCGAGCAGGUGCGAAAGCAGGUCAUAGUGAUCCGGUGGUUCUGAAUGGAAGGGCCAUCGCUCAACGGAUAAAAGGUACUCCGGGGAUAACAGGCUGAUACCGCCCAAGAGUUCAUAUCGACGGCGGUGUUUGGCACCUCGAUGUCGGCUCAUCACAUCCUGGGGCUGAAGUAGGUCCCAAGGGUAUGGCUGUUCGCCAUUUAAAGUGGUACGCGAGCUGGGUUUAGAACGUCGUGAGACAGUUCGGUCCCUAUCUGCCGUGGGCGCUGGAGAAUUGAGGGGGGCUGCUCCUAGUACGAGAGGACCGGAGUGGACGCAUCACUGGUGUUCGGGUUGUCAUGCCAAUGGCACUGCCCGGUAGCUAAAUGCGGAAGAGAUAAGUGCUGAAAGCAUCUAAGCACGAAACUUGCCCCGAGAUGAGUUCUCCCUGAGACUUUAAGUCUCCUGAAGGAACGUUGAAGACGACGACGUUGAUAGGCCGGGUGUGUAAGCGCAGCGAUGCGUUGAGCUAACCGGUACUAAUGAACCGUGAGGCUUAACCUU